GAUGAACGCUGGCGGCGUGCCUAACACAUGCAAGUCGAGCGAUUCUCUUCGGAGAAGAGCGGCGGACGGGUGAGUAACGCGUGGGUAACCUGCCUUGUACACACGGAUAACAUACCGAAAGGUAUGCUAAUACGAGAUAAUAUGCUUUUAUCGCAUGAUAGAAGUAUCAAAGCUUUUGCGGUACAGGAUGGACCCGCGUCUGAUUAGCUAGUUGGUAAGGUAACGGCUUACCAAGGCGACGAUCAGUAGCCGACCUGAGAGGGUGAUCGGCCACAUUGGAACUGAGACACGGUCCAAACUCCUACGGGAGGCAGCAGUGGGGAAUAUUGCACAAUGGGCGAAAGCCUGAUGCAGCAACGCCGCGUGAGCGAUGGAGGCCUUCGGGUCGUAAAGCUCUGUCCUCAAGGAAGAUAAUGACGGUACUUGAGGAGGAAGCCCCGGCUAACUACGUGCCAGCCGCCGCCGUAA
rnacentral:rRNA from 1 species